GGGGUUGUGGCUCAGCGGUAGAGCACUCGCCUGGCAUGUGUGAGGCCCUGGGUUCGAUCCUCAGCACCACA
rnacentral:tRNA from 1 species